ensembl:snoRNA small nucleolar RNA SNORD10
UGUUAAUGAUGAAAUCCAUGCGUGUCAACUGACUCCGGAAGGUCUCGGUGCCGCAUGGCACCGGUCGGCGUUUUGCCGACCGGACCGCCGCGCGGCACCUACCUCCGGGGCUAUGAUCAGAGACUAACUAGCUGAACACA